UUGAACGCUGGCGGCAGGCCUAACACAUGCAAGUCGAACGGUAACAGGAAGCAGCUUGCUGCUUUGCUGACGAGUGGCGGACGGGUGAGUAAUGUCUGGGAAACUGCCUGAUGGAGGGGGAUAACUACUGGAAACGGUAGCUAAUACCGCAUAACGUCGCAAGACCAAAGAGGGGGACCUUAGGGCCUCUUGCCAUCGGAUGUGCCCAGAUGGGAUUAGCUAGUAGGUGGGGUAACGGCUCACCUAGGCGACGAUCCCUAGCUGGUCUGAGAGGAUGACCAGCCACACUGGAACUGAGACACGGUCCAGACUCCUACGGGAGGCAGCAGUGGGGAAUAUUGCACAAUGGGCGCAAGCCUGAUGCAGCCAUGCCGCGUGUAUGAAGAAGGCCUUCGGGUUGUAAAGUACUUUCAGCGGGGAGGAAGGGAGUAAAGUUAAUACCUUUGCUCAUUGACGUUACCCGCAGAAGAAGCACCGGCUAACUCCGUGCCAGCAGCCGCGGUAAUACGGAGGGUGCAAGCGUUAAUCGGAAUUACUGGGCGUAAAGCGCACGCAGGCGGUUUGUUAAGUCAGAUGUGAAAUCCCCGGGCUCAACCUGGGAACUGCAUCUGAUACUGGCAAGCUUGAGUCUCGUAGAGGGGGGUAGAAUUCCAGGUGUAGCGGUGAAAUGCGUAGAGAUCUGGAGGAAUACCGGUGGCGAAGGCGGCCCCCUGGACGAAGACUGACGCUCAGGUGCGAAAGCGUGGGGAGCAAACAGGAUUAGAUACCCUGGUAGUCCACGCCGUAAACGAUGAGUGCUAAGUGUUGGAGGGUUUCCGCCCUUCAGUGCUGCAGCAAACGCAUUAAGCACUCCGCCUGGGGAGUACGACCGCAAGGUUGAAACUCAAAGGAAUUGACGGGGGCCCGCACAAGCGGUGGAGCAUGUGGUUUAAUUCGAUGCAACGCGAAGAACCUUACCUGGUCUUGACAUCCACAGAACUUUCCAGAGAUGGAUUGGUGCCUUCGGGAACUGUGAGACAGGUGCUGCAUGGCUGUCGUCAGCUCGUGUUGUGAAAUGUUGGGUUAAGUCCCGCAACGAGCGCAACCCUUAUCCUUUGUUGCCAGCGGUCCGGCCGGGAACUCAAAGGAGACUGCCAGUGAUAAACUGGAGGAAGGUGGGGAUGACGUCAAAUCAUCAUGCCCCUUAUGACCUGGGCUACACACGUGCUACAAUGGGAAGUACAACGAGUCGCGAAGUCGCGAGGCUAAGCUAAUCUCUUAAAGCUUCUCUCAGUUCGGAUUGCAGGCUGCAACUCGCCUGCAUGAAGCCGGAAUCGCUAGUAAUCGCGGAUCAGCACGCCGCGGUGAAUACGUUCCCGGGCCUUGUACACACCGCCCGUCACACCAUGGGAGUCAGUAACGCCCGAAGUCAGUGACCCAACCGAAAGGAGGGAGCUGCCGAAGGUGGGACCGAUAACUGGGGUG
rnacentral:rRNA from 1 species